rnacentral:rRNA from 1 species
UGAGGAAUAUUGGUCAAUGGGCGAGAGCCUGAACCAGCCAAGUCGCGUGAAGGAUGACAGCCUUAUGGGUUGUAAACUUCUUUUAUACAGGAAUAAAAAGGUGGACGCGUCCACCAUUGCAUGUACUGUAUGAAUAAGC